rnacentral:rRNA from 1 species
GUUAUAUGGUCAAGUGAAGAAGCGCAUACGGUGGAUGCCUUGGCAGUCAGAGGCGAUGAAAGACGUGGUAGCCUGCGAAAAGCUUCGGGGAGUCGGCAAACAGACUUUGAUCCGGAGAUGUCUGAAUGGGGGAACCCAGCCAUCAUAAGAUGGUUACCUUACACUGAAUACAUAGGUGUAAGGGGCGAACCAGGGGAACUGAAACAUCUAAGUACCCUGAGGAAAAGAAAUCAACCGAGAUUCCCUUAGUAGUGGCGAGCGAACGGGGACUAGCCCUUAAGUGGCUUUGAGAUUAGCGGAACGCUCUGGAAAGUGCGGCCAUAGUGGGUGAUAGCCCUGUACGCGAAAAUCUCUUAGUCAUGAAAUCGAGUAGGACGGAGCACGAGAAACUUUGUCUGAAUAUGGGGGGACCAUCCUCCAAGGCUAAAUACUACUGACUGACCGAUAGUGAACUAGUACCGUGAGGGAAAGGCGAAAAGAACCCCGGAGAGGGGAGUGAAAUAGAUCCUGAAACCGUAUGCGUACAAGCAGUGGGAGCCCACUUUGUUGGGUGACUGCGUACCUUUUGUAUAAUGGGUCAGCGACUUAUUUUCAGUGGCGAGCUUAACCGAAUAGGGGAGGCGUAGCGAAAGCGAGUCUUAAUAGGGCGUCUAGUCGCUGGGAAUAGACCCGAAACCGGGCGAUCUAUCCAUGGGCAGGUUGAAGGUUGGGUAACACUAACUGGAGGACCGAACCGACUACCGUUGAAAAGUUAGCGGAUGACCUGUGGAUCGGAGUGAAAGGCUAAUCAAGCUCGGAGAUAGCUGGUUCUCCUCGAAAGCUAUUUAGGUAGCGCCUCAUGUAUCACUGUAGGGGGUAGAGCACUGUUUCGGCUAGGGGGUCAUCCCGACUUACCAAACCGAUGCAAACUCCGAAUACCUACAAGUGCCGAGCAUGGGAGACACACGGCGGGUGCUAACGUCCGUCGUGAAAAGGGAAACAACCCAGACCGUCAGCUAAGGUCCCAAAGUUAUGGUUAAGUGGGAAACGAUGUGGGAAGGCUUAGACAGCUAGGAGGUUGGCUUAGAAGCAGCCACCCUUUAAAGAAAGCGUAAUAGCUCACU